rnacentral:lncRNA from 1 species
GCAGCAUAUCAAUAUCAUGCAGCAUAGCAGUACUCAGACCCUUACUACGCAGGCGUUGUUGCUCCCUAUGGAAGUCAAGAUGUGUGUCCGAGGAGCCUGUCUAUGUGAACGCCAAGCAGUACCGCGGCAUUCUAAGACGGCGGCAGUCACGUGCCAAGGCCGAGCUUGAGAGAAAGCGCUGGUCAAAGCAAGAAAGCCGUAUCUUCACGAGUCCCCGUCAUCAGCACGCGAUGACGAGGAGGGCGAGAGGGAACGGUGGACGCUUCCUAAACACGAAGAAGAGUGACCGUGUCCCUCCUGAUGACUUGAUACAGCUACGACGACACAACGAGGCUUGAAGAGGUAGCGGUCUGGCUGGCAUCCUAGAGCAGCGGUUUCUGUCCACAGGCACGUGCAUCUGAGACCGGAUCCGUAGCUCCACUCCACAGCAUAUGCGCAGCCCAUCCAUCUCGUGCACACUUGUGUAGCUGCUGUGUUGUAACUUGUAAGUGGAAAACUGAGCUUGUGUCCGAUUGCUAUACACAACCUAAGUUUCCUGUGACCUAGCUCUGAUGUGGCUCUGAUUGAACUGCACCAAAUCAUAUGAAAUCCCU